UUGUCCACUAUCUCUAAGUUCUCUUGAACUUAAUUUUAGUUGCCGCAACAAAAGAAUUCUUAAGAUAUAAAUUCCAGAGAUGAAUAAAGUAUAUCUCAUAUCAUAUCAUCUCGUCUUAUGAGUAAAUAUGAAUUUUUUCACUCAUCUGAACAAAAGUAAAGAUUUGUUUGCCUGUGCAUCUACCAUCAUCUUUUCUGUUUUUGCAUCUUUUAGCUCAGAGUUUUGGCUUUGUUGCUCUCUACUUAAAUGGUUUACAAAGAUCCAAAGCUGCCAAAAAAAUAAAAUCAGUUCACAGCUACAAAGAGGCCUUCAUCCGAAACAAACUUGUUAAUAUUGUAGAUCCAAAGGUCAGCAGUAAGGCCCCUAAUGUAUUCCAAUCAGAGUUUAUUGGCAUUUCCUCACUCCAGGCACAAAAGUAAAGGAGAAUAUGCUUUAGAAUUUGUGGUGCAUGAACUUUGGAACUGAAUCCCUUUGGACUGAAGAUCUGUGGGAACAUUUGAAAGAAAACUUACAUGUAAUGUGAGAGCUGCAGAGGAAGGACAGAAAAUAGAGCAGAAGACAGAAGCGGUCACCCAAACCAGAAAAAACAAAGAAAAUAAGAGGGAUAAAGGGGAAAUAUUUUUAGCAGUACCAUUUAAAAAGGCAGUGACCAACACAGUUUAAUCCAACCUCAGAACAAAUAGGCUUGUGCAUUGCUGUGAAUGUGGAUCAGAAGAUGGGCAGAGGGAUAAUUGGUAAAUUGUGAAUAAUAAUGUGAGGAUGUCAUUACUGUAGACUUUGAAAGAGAAAAACAAUGAAUCACAACGCUCUCGUCAGCUCUGUCGUAGUAUGUGACAGCAAUGCUGCACACUAAGCAUUGGUGGUUACAUGGACGUACUGAAGCAUAAUGAAUUAUUAGAGACAAGGAUGUGUGUAAGUCACAGAAAUAACAACUGAUUUAAAACAAGAACAGAAUUGAACACAGAAUGGGGAACAAAAGAAUGAAUACUCAGUUUAAAUGCUGUUGAGAUUGGAAAAACAUGGUUCCAUGCUGAGACCGAUGACAAUGCACAGUCACACGCAGAGCAGAUGUUGUUGAAUCUGGGUUACGAUGUAGGCGUCUGGUCUCGUUGUAACAUGUAGCUGAACGAUGCACAACUCAUCCAAGAGUGCACAAAACCCCCAUGUGCAUAUGUAUUUAUGUGACUUGAACACAUCGGCACCUGCUGCCAAUUAUCUCUAACUUUCCACCAUCUGAGAGAAGAUCAUACUUGAAGCCACUCAGCUUCUAGGUAAUAACAGUCUCCAUUUGGGUGAUUGAGUAGUUAAAUAGGAUACUUUGUGUCUUUUUUCCCUUCCUGCUAGGUACUUAGAAUGGCAUUUGAUGAAUGUGUGAGAGGCUCCAGAUGUACCACAAUGUGCUCCUUCAGGGGGAGCUUGUUGUCCGACAUCACUUCCCAACCAUUCAGUUUCCGUCAUUUCAGUGCAUCGCUUUGGAAAUUUACAAUGCUUGGCACCACACAGUAUCACAGAGCCCCACAGCUGGGCAUUUCGCAUUUUAUAGUUAUUGGUAAAUAGAUGUAAUUGAGAAUGAUAUGUACUUUUUAAAAAAUUAUUUCAGUGAUAAUUUUUUUCUUUUCUUCCAUCAUGUUUUUAAGAAAAAUGAAGAAAGGACUCUGGUUUAAAUUCUUGCUAUUUGGCUCACAACAUUUUUUUUCCUUGUCAUUUUACAUGCUGUGUUUACUUUAAUUUGCAUCUUAGCUGUUGUACAGAUGUGCAUAUCCAUUUGGGGAUGCAUUUGUUAUUGUUUUGUACAGUUUUCAGUUGCUCUGAUAAUUAAAGUCAUUCUUUUGUAAUUCUUACAUCAUAAACUGAGACAGUCCUCCUAUAUAAAGAAAAUCCCACGGGCCAUUUGUGCACGCUGCUUACUACACAGAGGGAAUUAGGUUAUGUAGCUAUGGAACCACAAAGUUCCAUUAGAGAGGAGAUCUGGGUGGCUGAAUUGGUUUACAAA